rfam:Parcubacteria (Adlerbacteria) bacterium GW2011_GWA1_54_10 TY83_C0002, whole genome shotgun sequence.
GGGCCCGUAGCUCAGUUGGUAGAGCGCGUCAUUCGCAUUGACGAGGUCGGGGAUUCGAGCUCCCCCGGGUCCA